rnacentral:rRNA from 1 species
UACGUAGGGGGGCUAGCGUUGUCCGGAAUCAUUGGGCGUAAAGAGCGUGUAGGCGGCCCCGGUAAGUCCGCUGUGAAAAGUCGGGGGGCUCAACCCUCGAAUGCCGGUGGAUACUGUCGGGCUAGAGUGCGGAAGAGGCGAGUGGAAUUCCUGGUGUAGCGGUGAAAUGCGCAGAUAUCAGGAGGAACACCGAUUGCGAAGGCAGCUCGCUGGGACGUAACUGACGCUGAGACGCGAAAGCGUGGGGGAGCAAACAGG